UGUGUUGUUGGGUAGGGGAGCGUUCUGUAAGCCUGCGAAGGUGUACUGUGAGGUAUGCUGGAGGUAUCAGAAGUGCGAAUGCUGACAUAAGUAACGAUAAAGCGGGUGAAAAGCCCGCUCGCCGGAAGACCAAGGGUUCCUGUCCAACGUUAAUCGGGGCAGGGUGAGUCGACCCCUAAGGCGAGGCCGAAAGGCGUAGUCGAUGGGAAACAGGUUAAUAUUCCUGUACUUGGUGUUACUGCGAAGGGGGGACGGAGAAGGCUAUGUUGGCCGGGCGACGGUUGUCCCGGUUUAAGCGUGUAGGCUGAUUUUCCAGGCAAAUCCGGAAAAUCAAGGCUGAGGCGUGAUGACGAGGCACUACGGUGCUGAAGCAACAAAUGCCCUGCUUCCAGGAAAAGCCUCUAAGCAUCAGGUAACAUCAAAUCGUACCCCAAACCGACACAGGUGGUCAGGUAGAGAAUACCAAGGCGCUUGAGAGAACUCGGGUGAAGGAACUAGGCAAAAUGGUGCCGUAACUUCGGGAGAAGGCACGCUGAUAGGUAGGUGAAGCGACUUGCUCGUGGAGCUGAAAUCAGUCGAAGAUACCAGCUGGCUGCAACUGUUUAUUAAAAACACAGCACUGUGCAAACACGAAAGUGGACGUAUACGGUGUGACGCCUGCCCGGUGCCGGAAGGUUAAUUGAUGGGGUCAGCCGCAAGGCGAAGCUCUUGAUCGAAGCCCCGGUAAACGGCGGCCGUAACUAUAACGGUCCUAAGGUAGCGAAAUUCCUUGUCGGGUAAGUUCCGACCUGCACGAAUGGCGUAAUGAUGGCCAGGCUGUCUCCACCCGAGACUCAGUGAAAUUGAACUCGCUGUGAAGAUGCAGUGUACCCGCGGCAAGACGGAAAGACCCCGUGAACCUUUACUAUAGCUUGACACUGAACAUUGAGCCUUGAUGUGUAGGAUAGGUGGGAGGCUUUGAAGCGUGGACGCCAGUCUGCGUGGAGCCGACCUUGAAAUACCACCCUUUAAUGUUUGAUGUUCUAACGUGGACCCCUAAUCGGGGUUGCGGACAGUGUCUGGUGGGUAGUUUGACUGGGGCGGUCUCCUCCUAAAGAGUAACGGAGGAGCACGAAGGUUGGCUAAUCCUGGUCGGACAUCAGGAGGUUAGUGCAAUGGCAUAAGCCAGCUUGACUGCGAGCGUGACGGCGCGAGCAGGUGCGAAAGCAGGUCAUAGUGAUCCGGUGGUUCUGAAUGGAAGGGCCAUCGCUCAACGGAUAAAAGGUACUCCGGGGAUAACAGGCUGAUACCGCCCAAGAGUUCAUAUCGACGGCGGUGUUUGGCACCUCGAUGUCGGCUCAUCACAUCCUGGGGCUGAAGUAGGUCCCAAGGGUAUGGCUGUUCGCCAUUUAAAGUGGUACGCGAGCUGGGUUUAGAACGUCGUGAGACAGUUCGGUCCCUAUCUGCCGUGGGCGCUGGAGAACUGAGGGGGGCUGCUCCUAGUACGAGAGGACCGGAGUGGACGCAUCACUGGUGUUCGGGUUGUCAUGCCAAUGGCACUGCCCGGUAGCUAAAUGCGGAAGAGAUAAGUGCUGAAAGCAUCUAAGCACGAAACUUGCCCCGAGAUGAGUUCUCCCUGACUCCUUGAGAGUCCUGAAGGAACGUUGAAGACGACGACGUUGAUAGGCCGGGUGUGUAAGCGCAGCGAUGCGUUGAGCUAACCGGUACUAAUGAACCGUGAGGCUUAACCUUACAAC
rnacentral:rRNA from 1 species